rnacentral:rRNA from 1 species
GACGAACCGUGCGAACGUUAUUCGGAAUCACUGGGCUUAAAGCGCGUGUAGGCGGCUCGGUAAGUCUGCUGUGAAAGUCCAAGGCUCAACCUUGGAAAGCCGGUGGAUACUGUCGAGCUCGAGUCCGGAAGAGGCGAGUGGAAUUCCUGGUGUAGCGGUGAAAUGCGCAGAUAUCAGGAGGAACACCAAUGGCGAAGGCAGCUCGCUGGGACGGUACUGACGCUGAGACGCGAAAGCGUGGGGAGCAAACAGG